rnacentral:lncRNA from 1 species
AGACCUAAAAGGCUGGGGCAGACCUCGGGAUGCAGCGGGGGUCGUGCGUAGCGGGUAGGAGCUGCUUGGGACCGCGUCCGGGCGCUCGUGGGGCUCUCGGCGCGGCAGGCGCUUCCCGGCCCUGUCUGGCCGCGGGCUCCGCCGCUUCGCAGCCGAGUCUGGGACUCGGGACUCGGCUGCCCGCUGCUGCGCGGCUCCUCCAUGACCCGGCGCCCUGCCCGGGACCGGCCCGCUCGCUGCACUGGUCCUCUCCUCGGCCUCCUCUUGAGCUUUCCUCGGACAGGGGCACCGUGCGCUCCCCGGCCACCGUCGCUCUGCCCUCGGCUCUCUGGGGCCGGGGAUUCCGGAUCGGGAGCCGGGAUGCGGGCCGGGGCGCGCACAGACGCUAGGCGGCCCAGCCCGGGCGCCGCUGGCACCGGCUCGCGGCUCCCGGCAAAAACCCGUCCGACUGGCUGGGCCACUCCCGCCUGACGCCCCCCCAGAUGACACGACUAGCUCUCCCGGCGUGCUGCCUUUGCCAGUCUACCCGCCAGGUUGUCAGAACAAGCGGCACCUCGCCUCCUGCGUGUCCCUACAGAGCCCCGGCACAAUCAGACUGCCCCAAGCCAGCUCCGAAACCCGAAAUCCCCGCUCCGGCGCUUGCCCACCACGGCCAAAGUUGUGGAAACAGCUUUGACUUUAUUCUCCUCUCUCUCUCAUCUUUUUUUGCCUCGCUUACACACGCAUUCACACUUGCCCCCACAGGAUCCCUCUAGGGGUGCAAGUUCAUCCCCCACCUAGCCACCCACCCCAUCCAGUCGGCACCUAGAGCCGCACGGAGGUUCGGACCCCGCCCGCCGAGGGCGCCCACACCUGGAGCUGGGUUUCGGCCUCUGCGAAAGUGAAAUGCCCAAGCCUCCGGCCAAAGCCCAGACCAGUACAGUAUGAAUUGUCCUAUGAGACUGAGGGGUUCGGCUUCAUUCCUACCUGCCCGCAAAGCUCGCCCCCAGCCUCGAAAACAAAGCGACUGGUCUGACGUGGGGUCCCUGCGCCCCUCCUCUAGCGCGACAGGACCCCCCCAGGGAAGAGCCAGUACCCGUGGGAUGUCACCCCGUCCCCAUCUACCGGGGUGGGGGGCCUGAAAGGAGAACGAUUUAAAAUAAUCUUCAGAAAGAAAAGGGAGGAGGGAGCGGGUGACACAUCGUUCACAUAAACCCAAUUUCUGGUUUCGAGUGAAGUCAAGAUCUCCGCCCCUGCGCCUGCACACACACCUCCUGCCUAACAUUCUCAGCUGCAAAUGCCAAAAAAGAAAAAAAAAAAAAACAGCAAAAGUUGGGACUGCCACCUAUUUAUUUAGGCACAGCCAAAAUUGGUCAGAAAGGGGAGUAAAGUGGGACACGAGCUUCAAAGUAGGGAAACCAAAGAAGGGAGCAUCCACGUCCUCUCUCUGCAGCUUCUCCCCCGCGUUCUUCGGGCGAAUCCGAGGGACGGGCGCUGCGCUGGGGAAAGUUUGUCCCACCCGCGUUUCGCAGCUGGUUGCAAGGAGAGGAGGAGGAGAGGGAGGGUCAAGCUCGGAGCCUGUGACCGCACGGAUGAUCGAGCCGGCGUCGCGCUUACCUCGCAGUCCUCGUACUUGAUAUUAUCCGUCAAUUUCCAAAGCAUUUUCAUGGAUCGGCGUGAACGGAUAUGCCCCUCUCGGUCUCGCACCCAAGUGGAGCUACUCUCUGGCUCUUUACCAACAGCCUAAUCGCCUCAUUAGCAUAUCAACAAUAGUCCAAUUGCUCGCCAGUACCACAAUCUGCCGCCGGCCGCUCCGACACAGAGAUGCCUUCUGCAAAGCCCGGCACUGCUCAAGGUCCAAGCGCCACGCCUGGGGCCCAGCUUCUAGCACUUCUCCCUUAACCCUGCUACCACGAUCCGAGCUGCCCUUUUGGCCCCGUGCAAUUUUAUUAGAAAUCAUUAUCCCUUUCGCAAUUAAACAUAACCACCAAACCAAGACCGGCGAAGUCACUCCAGGAUUUUUUCCCAACAAGGGAUCGCCUCCGCUCGAGGCAGCCACCCCCUCGGGCCGCAGCGCCUUGGGAGUUUUAUUGGCUUUGAGCUUUCCCCCAGGUUGGAGAUUCUGCCAAGCGGCUCCGGUGGCUCUGCUGGGGUUUGCAAUCCCUUAAUUGCAGCGUGUAAAAUAAAAGUUGUACCCUGAAGAGGUUACUUGACAGCUCCAGGGGUUAAACAAUUUUUCUCCUGUUUGUGUGAAGCUAGGGCCAACUGACAGUUCAAAUUGGUGUUCAGGCUAAGGUUUCCUGGGUGCAACGUGGACACGAAUACAGAACUCCUAUGGAACUGCACACCCGCUUCUGAAGUUGAGCCUAAAAACAGACGUGUGUGUGCCUGCAAGUCUAGAUACCGUCUCGUGCGUGCAUCAAAAUAAAUCACCGGGAACCGACUUUUAGCUGUGUUAAUCUGCUCUAGUUUUCCCAAGAUUCCCCUUUUUAAUUAAAGCAGGGAGAGUUCCUUCAUGAUUUGGUGAUGCUACUAACGCGGGCGUGCUCGCGAGGCAGAGCCCGGCUGCCGCGGAACCUGGAGGCCUGGGAGCCACCUACUCGUCCAGACUGGUCAGUCCGGGCUUUUGGACUCCUCACCGGGGCCUGCUGGGUCCUCUGGGGCUUUUAUCCCUUUCGGUUUUGGGAUUUUUUUUUAAGUAAGAAAA